rnacentral:rRNA from 2 species
UCGGGCGCUUGCACCGAGAUUCAUCAUCGAAGGAGUGGCGGACGGUGUGAGUACACACGUGGGUACCCUGCCAGUAAGUGGGGGAUACCAUUUGGAACCAGAUGUUAAUACGGCAUAGAUCCAAGAUCGCCAUGGUUCUUGGUUGAAAGAUGGUGUAAGCUAUCGCUUUUGGAUGGACCCGCGGUGUAUUAGCUAGUUGGUGAGGUAAUGGCUCACCAAGGCGAUGAUACGUAGCCGAAUUGAGAGGUUGAUCGGCCACAUUGGGACUGAGACACGGCCCAUACUCCUACGGGAGGCAGCAGUAGGGAAUCUUCCACAAUGGACGCAAGUCUGAUGGAGCAACGCCGCGUGAGUGAAGAAGGCUUUCGGGUCGUAAAACUCUGUUGUUGGAGAAGAACGGUUGGCAGAGUAACUGUUGUUGGCGUGACGGUAUCCAACCAGAAAGCCACGGCUAACUACGUGCCAGCAGCCGCGGUAAUACGUAGGUGGCAAGCGUUAUCCGGAUUUAUUGGGCGUAAAGCGAGCGCAGGCGGUUUUUUAAGUCUGAUGUGAAAGCCCUCGGCUUAACCGAAGAAGCGCAUCGGAAACUGGGAAACUUGAGUGCAGAAGAGGACAGUGGAACUCCAUGUGUAGCGGUGAAAUGCGUAGAUAUAUGGAAGAACACCAGUGGCGAAGGCGG